CAAGUUUUUUCUUACAGAGUGCUGAGACGCUUUUAAAACCUACAAAACUUCCUGUUCACCCACAUUAGCUUGAAGAGCAGCUCAGAAGACACUGACUGAGAAGGACUUUCAUGUUCUGGUUUUAUCCCUGACUUCAUCAUGAGGCUGUCUCUGCUGCUGUUUAUAUCAGUCCUGGCACUCAGUACUUCAAAAGCCCAGGUCCAAACAACAACUGGACAAACAGCAUUUCUAUUGACAACAACACCUGAGACGACAACAACAUCUGAGAC